rnacentral:snRNA from 1 species
AAAAGUACAUGGCAGGGGAGACACCAGGAUCAUGAAGGUAGUUUUCCCAGGGUGAGGUUCAGCGAUUGCACUCCGGGUGUGCUGACCCCUGCGAUUUCCCCAAAUGUGGGAAACUCAACUGCAUAAUUUGUGGUAGUGGAGGACUGCGUUCGCNCUUUCCCCUG